rnacentral:rRNA from 1 species
UACGUAGGGUGCGAGCGUUGUCCGGAAUUACUGGGCGUAAAGCGAGCGUAGUCGGUUAUUUAAGUCGGGUGUGAAAUCCCCGGGCUCAACCUGGGAAUUGCAUUCGAUACUGGAUAGCUAGAGUUCGGCAGAGGGAAGCGGAAUUUCCGGUGUAGCGGUGAAAUGCGUAGAUAUCGGAAGGAACAUCAGUGGCGAAAGCGGCUUCCUGGACCAGAACUGACGAUCAGGCUCGAAAGCGUGGGGAGCAAACAGG